rnacentral:rRNA from 1 species
AAGUCAGAUGUGAAAGCCUUCUGUUCAACGGAAGAAUUGCAUCUGAAACUGCGAGUCUUGAGUGUAGGAGGGGAGAAUGGAACUUCUGGUGGAGCGGUGAAAUGCGUAGAUAUCAGAAGGAACGCCGGCGGCGAAAGCGAUUCUCUGGCCUAUUACUGACACUCAGUGUGCGAAAGCUAGGGGAGCAAACGGGAUUAGAUACCCCGGUAGUCCUAGCCGUAAACGAUGGGCACUAAGUAGAGGGAAUUACCGAUAUUCUCUCUGCCGUAGCUAACGCAUUAAGUGCCCCGCCUGGGGAGUACGGCCGCAAGGCUAAAACUCAAAAGAAUUGACGGGGGCUCGCACAAGCGGUGGAGCAUGUGGCUUAAUUCGAUGCAACGCGAAAAACCUUACCGGGGCUUGACAUGAUAGAAGUAGGAACCCGAAAGGGUAACGAACGGUAUCCAGUCCGUAGCUAUUACAGGUGUUGCAUGGCUGUCGUCAGCUCGUGUCGUGAGACGUUGGGUUAAGUCCCCUAACGAGCGAAACCCUUGUUUUUAGUUGCCAGCGGGUUGUGCCGGGCACUCUAGAAAGACUGCCGUCGUCAAGACGGAGGAAGGUGGGGACGACGUCAAGUCAUCAUGGCCCUUAUGCCCCGGGCUGCACACGUGCUACAAUGGUCGGUACAAACGGAAGCGAAG